ACUGAGCCGGACAAUCUUCUCUCUUCUCUCUUCGAUGAGAGCCCACGCACUUCCCCGGUGUUUCCAUGGAUCAAGUAUGCAGUCAUUUGCGCAUCUCCAGUCAGAACAGAACCUGCACAAACGUUUUCCCCAUGGCACAUUUUCUGGCUGGCACCUGCAUUGCCUUCAUUGUUGUUUAUAUUAGUAAUAAUAGCCUUGGAUAUGUGUGUGUUCCUAUCAAAGUUGCUACAAGGGCUUGGACUCGUCCGCUUGGCAAAUGACUGUGAAAGGAAAGGAUGAGGGUCCUCCAUUACGAACACAGUAGCUGUUGAGGACAUUUCACCUUUGUUCAGUGUCUGCACUGUAUGGGAACAAGUGCAGGUUUUAAGUCUCAGAACUACACUACGGAGCAUUCAUGAGUUUUCUUGACAUCUCUUUCUGCAAAAGCCACAGCAGAACAUCUUCUCAGAUACAUCUGGAAAACUCUAAAGAGGAGGGUCAACAUCUAUUUAAUUCAAUGUGUAUUUUUAAGGACCAAGCAUCUGAGGUGCAGUUUGAAGAUCAUUUAAGUUUACAUCAUCCUUUAAAAUACUGGACGUCAGAAUUGACAAGUGGAUUCAAUGAUUUAAAAAAGAAAUACAGACAGACAGACAGAAAUACAGACAGACAGACAGACAGACAGACAGACAGACAGACAGACAGACAGACAGACAGACAGACAGACAGACAGACAGACAGACAGACAGACAGACAGACAGACAGACAGACAGACAGACAGACAGACAGACAGACAGACAGACAGACAGACAAAAUGUCAGAUGAAUACAUAUUUCUCAAGAUGAUGUCGUAAGCUUCUUAACACCGUAACCCACGUCAUAAGGGCUCAACACACAGUGAUAACAACCACACAAAGACACACCACAACCACAGGAUCUGACUAGUAGAGUGACUCCAGAAAUAUGUCAGGGGAAGGCCCUAAAAAUUGACAAAGACUCCAGCCACCCUAAUCUUAUUCUGUUUUCUCUGCUACAGCACAGCAAGCGGUACCUUAGCGCCAAGUCUAGGACCAAAAGGCUCCUUAACAACUUCUACCCCCAAGCCAUAAGACUGCUGAACAGCUAAUCAAAUAGCUACCCGGACUAUCUGCAUUGAUCCUCCCUUUUUUAUCCUACUGCUUUUCUCUAUUUAUUAUCUAUGCGUAGUCACUUUACCUCUACCUACAUGUUACCUCAGUUGCCACAACCUGUACCCCCCACACAUUGACUCUGUACCAGUACCCCCUGUAUAUAGCCUUGUUAUUAUUAUUUUGUUUUACUUUUUGUUUUACGUUAGCUUAUUUAGUAAAUAUGAACUCUUAUUCUUCUUAAGUGCAUUGUUGUUUAAGGGCUUGUAAGUAAGCAUUUUAAGGUAAGGUCUACAUCUGUUGUAUUUGGUACAUGUGACAAAUAAGUUUGAUUUGAUUUAGUUUUACCCAAUCAUCUGGCUCAUUAUUUGGUGGUUGUAGAGUAAUUAGUCUCAAGCGUCCCAAGUGUUUAAUGUCACUCUCUCCCUCUCCUGCGAGACUGCCGUUAAUUAAAAUACAAAACUCAAAAAAUCUUCCUGUUUAUUAGACACAGUGGCGGGUUGCUGUUGCACCAAAUUGAGGUGUAAUUGUAGCGCUGGGUUGAAAGGCACCGUCUCAUCGCUCAUCGGUUACGCUCACUAUGGUAAUUAUUUGUGUUUUCAUUUGGUGUCGCCACGGAAACGAGCAAUGGCCACUUCAGAAUCAAAAGGCUUGAGAGCCGGAGACACUUCCACGGUUAACAUGAUCUGUAGAGUGUCUUGGUAAUUAUGAAUGAAUCACUGUACUCUAUUGAAUCCCCAAGGGAGAUAAUAGGUUUACAUUGGCUACCAUCAGCUUUCACACUUAGACAUCAGACAAAGCAUAUGGCCAUGAGAAUAUGGCAAUCAACAUGGGCUCUGACGAAUGAGGAACACUUUUUAUUGACAAAUUAUAUUUGACAGUUGAUCUACUGUAUGGUGUUAUUACGUUCUGUGGACAGGUGACAGUUAUAUUAAGCAUAUGUUAAGCACAGG
ensembl:lncRNA